rnacentral:rRNA from 1 species
CAUGCAGGCGGCUCAUUACGCAUGGCGUGAAAGCCCCCGGCUUAACCGGGGAGGGUCGUCGUGAACGGGUGAGCUUGAGGGUAUCAGGGGCUGGUGGAAUUCCCGGUGUAGUGGUGAAAUGCGUAGAGAUCGGGAGGAACACCUGUGGCGAAGGCGGCCAGCUGGGAUACACCUGACGCUGAGAUGCGAAGGCGUGGGGAGCGAACG